UUGAACAUGUGCACAAGACACACAGCUAAGCUCAUAUAUUUCCUCUUUUUAGCGGUUAAAAUCGCCACAGCUAAAACAUGGAAAGUGCAAGCUUUAACUUUCUCUUUAAUAGUACACAAGAUGAAUUGGAUUGUGUUCAAUGACCAUCUUAAUAGUAUAAUCAAGGAUGCUCAGGCCCAGAUUAAGGAGAAAGAAUUAGCCAAGCCCCCGGACACCAACUGCCACCUUGAGCCGCAAAGGAUUGUGAAAUAGGCUUGAGACGAAUGUCAUCAAGACCUGAACGGAAACACUAAACCUGAGGGGACCAUAUAAAGAAGAAAAAGUAGACAUCCAUGGCAGAGCCGUAUAGCAAGUAAAUCCUGAGCACACAGUCUGCUUCCAGCUGGCUGACUAAGCUGAGGCUUUUCUGCCAAAAAGGGAGUGGUAUGCACAGCUGACAUCACAUGAAAGGCAGGACCGCCCAGCAAUGCUGACGCCCCAGUUACCAGGGGGCCCAGGAACCAAUCAGAGCAGCCGCAGACACAAGAUGGCCUUUGAACUCCUAGAAAGCAACUUCCUCCUCCUGCUUGUGGAGAGCACACAGUGCAUCAGUGUCAGCCCAGCGCUGCAGCACAAAGGAAAAGCCAUUUUGUGACCGAAAUA